rnacentral:tRNA from 1 species
GUGGGUGUAGCUCAGUUGGCAGAGCAUUGGAUUGUGGAUCCAAGGGUCGUGGGUUCAAGCCCCAUCAUCCACC